rnacentral:rRNA from 1 species
AUUGAACGCUGGCGGCAGGCCUAACACAUGCAAGUCGAGCGGAUGAUGGGAGCUUGCUCCUGGAUUCAGCGGCGGACGGGUGAGUAAUGCCUAGGAAUCUGCCUGGUAGUGGGGGACAACGUUUCGAAAGGAACGCUAAUACCGCAUACGUCCUACGGGAGAAAGCAGGGGACCUUCGGGCCUUGCGCUAUCAGAUGAGCCUAGGUCGGAUUAGCUUGUUGGUGAGGUAAUGGCUCACCAAGGCGACGAACCGUAACUGGUCUGAGAGGAUGAUCAGUCACACUGGAACUGAGACACGGUCCAGACUCCUACGGGAGGCAGCAGUGGGGAAUAUUGGACAAUGGGCGAAAGCCUGAUCCAGCCAUGCCGCGUGUGUGAAGAAGGUCUUCGGAUUGUAAAGCACUUUAAGUUGGGAGGGAGGGUUGUAGAUUAAUACUCUGCAAUUUUGACGUUACCGACAGAAUAAGCACCGGCUAACUCUGUGCCAGCCGCCGCCGUAACAC